GAGAGAGAGAGAGAGAACAGCUGCAGUCGGCCUCCAAGUCAGACUCACAGCGAUACUGACGGGUCGGAUCAACGCUGACCAAUCAAAACUCAAGCUGUGAAUGAGCAGAACAUGGACGUGAUCAUCAAGCAGGCGCUUGUGCUCUUAGUGAACGUUUGGCUGUGGACCUCAGGUGUGACUGCUGGCAGUGAUGUCGACCAGCCGGCCUUGCUGUGGAGAAACCAGGGUGACAACGCGACUAUCAGCUGCAAACAGUCCAAGGGUCCUGGCUACUACCAGAUGUACUGGUACCGACAGCUGCCUGGGGAAAUGAUGAAACAAGUAGUUUACACUAUGGAAAACUCCAAACCCGACUUCGAGGCUAAAUUCCAACUAGGUGAAAAGUUCUCAGUCUUUAAGCCUGAUGGUAAGAGCGGGACGUUCACCGUGCACAAACUGGUGCCAGGAGAUCAAGGCCUGUAUUUCGUUGGCACAUGGAUAACGUCUCACCUCGUGUGUCGGAGGGGCAGGAUGACAGACACCGCAAAUAUUCACCUCCUGUUUUAUUCAUCACUUUGA